GACGAACGCUGGCGGCGUGCUUAACACAUGCAAGUCGAACGGUAACAGGCCCUUCGGGUGCUGACGAGUGGCGGACGGGUGAGUAAUGCUUAGGAAUCUGCCUAGUAGUGGGGGAUAACCCGGGGAAACUCGGGCUAAUACCGCAUACGCCCUACGGGGGAAAGGCGGGGGACGUUUCGGCCGUCGCGCUAUUAGAUGAGCCUAAGUCCGAUUAGCUAGUUGGUAGGGUAAUGGCCUACCAAGGCGACGAUCGGUAGCUGGUCUGAGAGGACGACCAGCCACACUGGGACUGAGACACGGCCCAGACU
rnacentral:rRNA from 1 species